rnacentral:rRNA from 1 species
UACGGAGGGUGCAAGCGUUGUCCGGAAUUAUUGGGCGUAAAGAGCUCGUAGGCGGUCUGUUGCGUCCGCUGUGAAAACCCGGGGCUUAACCCUGGGCUGGCAGUGGAUACGGACAGACUAGAGGUAGGUAGGGGAGAAUGGAAUUCCCGGUGUAGCGGUGAAAUGCGCAGAUAUCGGGAGGAACACCGGUGGCGAAGGCGGUUCUCUGGGCCUUACCUGACGCUGAGGAGCGAAAGCGUGGGGAGCGAACAGG